UACGGAGGAUGCAAGCGUUAUCCGGAAUGAUUGGGCGUAAAGCGUCCGCAGGUGGCUGUGUAAGUCUGCUGUUAAAGAGUGAGGCUCAACCUCAUAAAAGCAGUGGAAACUACACAGCUAGAGUGCGUUCGGGGCAGAGGGAAUUCCUGGUGUAGCGGUGAAAUGCGUAGAGAUCAGGAAGAACACCGGUGGCGAAGGCGGCCUGCUGGGCAGUGGCUGACACUGAGGCGCGACAGCGUGGGGAGCAAACAGG
rnacentral:rRNA from 1 species